rnacentral:miRNA from 1 species
AAUCUCAUCGGCUGGAAGGAAUCCCUUCUGGUCAAUGAGGUAUAACAAGCUCAUUGACCAGAAGGGAUUCCUUCUGAUCAAUGAGGCU